UGCGCCAAACUUUCGUACUCUGACAGGCACGUAACCGAUGACUUAUUUUGUAGUUGUUGACAAGAUGGACGAUUUUGUUGUUGAAUCUUGAUAUCAUCUCAUGCAAGUUGUCUUUGAAAUUGUCAAUUUCUUUUGAAGCACAAAGAUACCAACAACUUCGAUGAUUUUAAUUGAGAAAGAGACACAGGAAAAAAUAUUGUUAUACCCAGUGCCGAACCUAUUGA